rnacentral:rRNA from 1 species
UUGAACGCUGGCGGCAUGCCUUACACAUGCAAGUCGAACGGCAGCACGGGGGCAACCCUGGUGGCGAGUGGCGAACGGGUGAGUAAUACAUCGGAACGUGCCCUGAAGUGGGGGAUAACGUAGCGAAAGUUACGCUAAUACCGCAUAUUCUGUGAGCAGGAAAGCAGGGGAUCGCAAGACCUUGCGCUUUAGGAGCGGCCGAUGUCGGAUUAGCUAGAUGGUGAGGUAAAGGCUCACCAAGGCGACGAUCCGUAGCGGGUCUGAGAGGAUGAUCCGCCACACUGGGACUGAGACACGGCCCAGACUCCUACGGGAGGCAGCAGUGGGGAAUUUUGGACAAUGGGCGCAAGCCUGAUCCAGCCAUGCCGCGUGCAGGAUGAAGGCCUUCGGGUUGUAAACUGCUUUUGUACGGAACGAAACGGUUCUCUUUAAUAAAGAGGGCUAAUGACGGUACCGUAAGAAUAAGCACCGGCUAACUACGU